GGCCUUGUGGCGCAACUGAAUAGCGCACCUGAUUACGGCUCAGGAGGUUCCAGGUUUGAAUCCUGGCAAGGUCACCA
rnacentral:tRNA from 1 species